rnacentral:lncRNA from 1 species
CGGAUAGAGGUCAAUCUCUUUUCCUGGGUAACAGCAAUAAAAUGAGAGAUGAUGGCCUUAAGUUGCACCAGGGGAGGUGUAGAUUGGAUAUUAGCAAAAAUUUCCUUUCAGAAAGAGUGGUGCUGCAGUGGCACAGGCUUCCCAGGGAGGUGGUGGGAUCAUUGUCCCUGGGGGUGUUCCAGAACCCUGUGGAUGUGGCACUGAGGGAUGUGGGCAGUGGGCACGGUGGGGGUGGACUGAUGGUUGGAUCUUUGAUGAUCUUAGAGGUCUUUUCAGUCCUUAUGAUUCUGUGAUUCUAUUUACUCAUUUAAUCAUUAUUUAGUAUAUAGCCAGAUCUUUGGAGGGAAAAGGGCAAAGGCCUAUGUGCACACACUGGAUAUGUGUUGUGUAUUCAUAUUCUCCAAUCAUUUUUAAACUUCUCUUUGAGAUCAAAAGACUUCAGGACUUAAUAACACUUUCUAUUUCAGACACGAUGCAUAGAGACAGUGCUGACAUGCUACAGAAAUUUGUUCGUAUGGAGAUUUUAAAGAAAACCACUACUGAAGAAGUUUUGCCAGCCUCUUCAAGUUCAUGUCAAAAAAUAGUACUGAAAACUGACCUUUGGGGAUUUUCCUGGAUAGCAUUUCACCGUCAGAUAGAAAGCCAUAGCCCUGAGUCAGCAAGGAACAGGCAGGCCUACCUUUAAACAUGUGAAAGUUAUUUAUAGGAGCAAUUUACUGAAUCAGGCCCCAUAAGAGAGAGAUAAGAGGGAAGAUUUCAUAAAAAGACUGAGCUACAGAAAAUCCUGUCAGGGUCGUGUUUGAAACAUCACAUGUGUGCCCUCCCAGUCCAUCCUCUGAAAAGAAUUUAUAGCACAAAUCUGUACAAAAUCUUCUGUACAAAAGCAGUGGUUUACUGGAAGACGAUCUCAGUGUGCCAGCCUGAUGGUGGACUUACACUAAGCUGGAGUAUGAAUUCCAAGGAAAGCCUCCAAAUACCAUUACAGGACAGAUGCUGGAAGUCUUCGCUGAUUUAGUACCAAGUUGGGCUUUUAAUUUUUGAUCAAAGAAGCCAAUAUCAAGACUUGCAAGAGCACCUACAUUUGUUGUUUCCUCUCUAAGAACUGACCCUUGUCAAGGUGUCUCAAGUGGGACACUAAGGAACUGCAGUACCUCAGACCACUAGACAUCAUAGAAAACCCUAGCCUGAACCUACAGUGCAUUAGUCCCCCACCAGAACUGAUUUCUGUAACAAAAACUUUCUUGUUUUGCUGAAAGACAAUAUCUGUAACCACUGGUAAGAAGACCACGUUUGGUUAUUUUUUGUAAUUCUU